rnacentral:rRNA from 1 species
UACGCAGGGGGCUAGCGUUGCUCGGAAUCACUGGGCGUAAAGCGCACGUAGGCGGAUCUUUAAGUCAGGGGUGAAAUCCCAAGGCUCAACCUUGGAACUGCCUUUGAUACUGGGGAUCUCGAGUCCGGAAGAGGUGAGUGGAACUGCGAGUGUAGAGGUGAAAUUCGUAGAUAUUCGCAAGAACACCAGUGGCGAAGGCGGCUCACUGGUCCGGUACUGACGCUGAGGUGCGAAAGCGUGGGGAGCGAACAGG